ACCCCUUUGGCCGCCCCCCUCUCUUUUCCUCUCUUCCACGCUUGCAGCCGCCCCAAUUCCUCUCCUCUUGGCUGCAGCCGCCCACUCCCUAUCAAACCCUAGCCACCCCCUUCCCCAAUCCCCCUCCCAAGGUGCAGCCCCUCUCCUUUGGGAUCUAAAUCGAGUGGUGCAAGCCUCUAAUUGGAGAAUUGGUGGAGGAAGAACAAAGAGGUGAAGGAAUAACUCAAGGUACUUGAUACAUGUUGGGAAUGAGGGGAGUAGCAGCACGUCCACUUUCACUCUCACAAUAACGCUACCCAGGCGCAGCCAUGAUUUAAUUAGAAACUUAUUGUCAAAGGAAGUUUGUUUUUUUAUAUAGUCGUGCGCACUGGUUAAUUCAUUUCAGGUCGUAUGUUUAUCUUUCCUUGCUAGCCGAUUAAUAAUACUUAGUAUGCUUUUGUCAUGAUAUAUGUUUAUACACUGUUGCCCCCUCAUUUAUGCAAUCUUGCAAAGGGGAUGCUGCCGAAAUUUAAUAUAUGGACGUCGGAAGUGUAGUUCAGUAGCAUUCCGGGUUGUUUGUGGAACCCGGAGUGUUACAAAUACAUCCUUUCCUUUUGUUUUUUAUAUACCUCUUUUCAUUGGCAGCCGUAAAUAUGCGGCCCACUAUUCCUUGAUUUACUCUCGUUUUAGGCUGCCGCCUUUUGUGCAUCCACCUCCUAUUCCUGUAAAAGCAGAGGGUAAACACUGCCGAUUGAAAGUAGGAUAUGUGAGUAGUGACUUUGGAAAUCACCCCCUUUCCCAUCUCAUGGGAUCAGUAUUUGGAAUGUAUGAUCGUGCCAAUAUCGAGGUCUUUUGCUAUGCACUCAGUCAAAACGAUGGUACUGAGUGGAGGCAGCGUAUUCGGUCUGAGGCAGAACAUUUUGUCGAUGUUUCUGCCAUGACUUCCGAUAAUAUCGCCGAGCUUAUCAAUCAAGACAAAAUACAGAUUUUGAUAAAUCUUAAUGGCUACACAAAGGAUUCCGACUCUCAUCAAGUGACUCCUCCCCCUCACGAUGACUUUGCGGACAGAUGUCUCAAUUCUAGUGGUGGAGCUACGAACAACAAUUCGAUGUCCCGAUCAAGAGCGAUGGAGCUAAUGUUUGAACUUGUGAACUAAAAAUGUGAACUAUGGAUGUGAACUUAAGUGAAUUUGUGAACUUAUGUAUUUGGACUAUGUGAAUUUGUGAACUUAUGUAUUUGGACUUGUGUGAAUUUGUGAUAUGAAUAUUUAUCCAUGUGUUUGAAAUCUGUAUUGUAUGUGAUAUUCUAUGUUGCAUGUGAUUUUAUG